rfam:Desulfacinum hydrothermale DSM 13146 genome assembly, contig: EJ40DRAFT_scaffold00001.1
GGGGCUGUAGCUCAGUUGGGAGAGCGCUUGAAUGGCAUUCAAGAGGUCAGGGGUUCGACUCCCCUCAGCUCCA